GGGCUCGGUCGCCGGUGACGAGCGGAGCAAAUACGAGGAGGACAUCAGCUACCUGAACAACAGCUGGAUGACAAGGAGAGAGAUCAGACCAACCUGCAGCAGCACAAGACGGUACAGAUAUGUUUUUGGAGAAAGUGUUUAAAGUCUGCAUCUCGAGGUCUGCAGAAACAUACAGACUGUUUUACGUGUGUGUGUGUGUGUGUGUGUGUGUCUGAGCUGAACAGUCUGCAGAGAAAGAGAGCUACCAAGUCCUCAACCUGCUGCUAUGAGACCUCAGUGACAUCGGCGCCAUCAUCGGCACCAGUGAUGUCAACACAGCUGUGAGAACGGACACACACAAUGCUCAAUGUCUUUAACUUCCCCCUCAUGCUCAGUCCUCAGAGUCAGAGGGGAACGGCUCGGAGGUGGAGCAUGCAGGCCAACGUCCACUUAAACAUUCAGGCCAAUGACAAGGAGGCAUGAUGGAGACGAGGACAUCAAGGUGAGGACACAAACACGCUUUGUAUUGUCUGUAAUCCGUUUCUACAUCUCCACAAAACUCUGGAGGAGCAGCUGGAGAACCACCACAAGCAGCUCAGCCGCCUCAGAGACCAGAUCCAAGACCAGCAGAGGAUGAUGGACGAGCUCACAGAAGGUCUGAGACGGAGCAGAUCACCUCUGAGAUGCUGAAGAACACGAUUGGUGAUGCUCAUAUUGUCUUUUAUUGUUUGUUGUUAUUUUGGUAGUUGAGUACAGAAGCCUUGAGAGGACAUGCUGUGUUCUUGUGAUAAAGACUUAAAAUCAGCUGUUUUCUCCACAUGAAGUAGUUUUCACGGGUAAACCUGGAGGUUAUCUCGAGGUUACGACGGAAAGAAGUCGAGAAAGAAAACAGAAAUUACUCGUUAUCAUGAAAAUGAAAAUGUUUGGAUGUUUGACGUCAGCUCGACUGGAUGAAGAGAAACGUGUUGAAAAUCAAAGAUCCUAAAAACAUGAAGAUGAUCUUAGAGCUGAAUCAAAUAGAAUCCAGUUUUGAGACUCAUGAAAAUGUUCAUUUAGUGAGUUUGAAAUGUAACCGAAUGUUUAUCGACGUGCGAGCUCGGCCGGUUGAAGUCGAUCGAGUCUCUGACUUGUGAACUUGUUUGUGCAGAGGAUCGGGGGAGCGUGGAGGAGGAGGAGCGCAGGAGGAGAAGUUUCAGACGGCUCCGUUUGAGGAGAUCGCCGCUCACUGUGGCGCCCGGACAUUGCUGCUUCAGUCCGAGGUCUUCGAUCUGAUCAUCCAUCCGGUCACUUGCAGCCGCGCUCCACGCCGCUCUGUGAGAUGAAGUUCCCCGACCUCUGUGUUUAUUAGACGAUCAGCAGUUAUGUGUUCAGUAUCCAGGUAGGAGAGGAGACAAGGAGACAAGGAGGCAGGAGAGGGGGCAAGAAGGAGACAGGGAGACAAGGAGGAAGAAUGCA